rnacentral:rRNA from 1 species
UACGUAGGGGGCAAGCGUUGUCCGGAUUUAUUGGGCGUAAAGAGCGUGUAGGCGGUCAGGUAGGUCCGUUGUGAAAACUCGAGGCUCAACCUCGAGACGCCGAUGGAAACCAUCUGACUAGAGUCCGGAAGAGGAGAGUGGAAUUCCUGGUGUAGCGGUGAAAUGCGCAGAUAUCAGGAAGAACACCCGUGGCUAAGGCGGCUCUCUAGUACGGUACUGACGCUGAGACGCGAAAAGCGUGGGGAACGAACAGG